GACGGAGGGGGCUAGCGUUGUUCGGAAUGACUGGGCGUAAAGGGUGCGUAGGCGGUUUUUUAAGUGAGGCGUGAAAGCCCUGGGCUUAACCCGGGAAUUGCGUUUCAGACUGGAAAGCUUGAGUACGAGAGAGGUAAGUGGAAUUCCUAGUGUAGAGGUGAAAUUCGUAGAUAUUAGGAAGAACACCAGUGGCGAAGGCGGCUUACUGGCUCGUAACUGACGCUGAGGCACGAAAGCGUGGGGAGCAAAC
rnacentral:rRNA from 1 species